GACGAACGCUGGCGGCGCGCUUAACACAUGCAAGUCGAGCGAGAACCAGGGCUUCGGCCCUGGGGACAGCGGCGAACGGGUGAGUAACACGUGGAUAACCUGCCCUCGGCACCGGGAUAGCCCGGGGAAACCCGGAUUAAUACCGGAUGGCCCUUCCGGCUUUCGAGCCGGUCGGAAAAGGUAGCUUCGGCCUCCGGCCGAGGAUGGGUCCGCGGCGGAUUAGCUUGUUGGUGGGGUAACGGCCUACCAAGGCUCCGAUCCGUAGCUGGUCUGAGAGGACGAUCAGCCACACUGGGACUGAGACACGGCCCAGACUCCUACGGGAGGCAGCAGUGGGGAAUCUUGCGCAAUGGGCGAAAGCCUGACGCAGCGACGCCGCGUGAGGGAGGAAGGCCUUCGGGUUGUAAACCUCUUUCAGGAGGGACGAAGCUACUCGGGUGAAUAGCCCAGAGGGUGACGGUACCUCCAGAAGAAGCCCCGGCUAACUACGUGCCAGCAGCCGCGGUAACAC
rnacentral:rRNA from 1 species